rnacentral:rRNA from 1 species
AUUGAACGCUGGCGGCAUGCCUUACACAUGCAAGUCGAACGGCAGCACGGGUGCUUGCACCUGGUGGCGAGUGGCGAACGGGUGAGUAAUACAUCGGAACGUACCUUAUCGUGGGGGAUAACGCAGCGAAAGCUGUGCUAAUACCGCAUACGCCCUGAGGGGGAAAGCGGGGGAUCGAAAGACCUCGCGCGAUUAGAGCGGCCGAUGCCUGAUUAGCUUGUUGGUGGGGUAAAAGCCCACCAAGGCGACGAUCAGUAGCUGGUCUGAGAGGACGAUCAGCCACACUGGGACUGGGACACGGCCCAGACUCCGACGGGAGGCAGCAGUGGGGAAUUUUGGACAAUGGGGGCAACCCUGAUCCAGCAAUGCAGCGUGAGUGAAGAAGGCCUUCGGGUUGUAAAGCUCUUUUGUCAGGGAAGAAACACCGGCUCUAACACAGUCCGGGAAUGACGGUACCUGAAGAAUAAGCACCGGCUAACUACGUGCCAGCCGCCGCAGUAA